AUUAAGCCAUGCAGGUCUAAGUGCACACGGUCGGUACAGUGAAACUGCGAAUGGCUCAUUAAAUCAGUUAUGGUUCCUUUGAUCGCUCCACCCGCUACUUGGAUAACUGUGGCAAUUCCAGAGCUAAUACAUGCAAACGAGCGCCGACCCGGCUCCCCUCGGGGGGUCGGGGACGCGUGCAUUUAUCAGAUCCAAAACCCAUCCGGGGUCGGCUCCGGCCGCCCCGGCCGCUUUGGUGACUCUAGAUAACCUCGGGCCGAUCGCGCGCCCUCCGCGGCGGCGACGACUCAUUCGAAUGUCUGCCCUAUCAACUUUCGAUGGUACAUUCGGCGCCUACCAUGGUGACCACGGGUAACGGGGAAUCAGGGUUCGAUUCCGGAGAGGGAGCCUGAGAAACGGCUACCACAUCCAAGGAAGGCAGCAGGCGCGCAAAUUACCCAUUUCCGACACGGAGAGGUA
rnacentral:rRNA from 1 species